ensembl:lncRNA
CUUGGUGUCACCCAGUGUCACCCAAUGUCCCUUUGCUGUCACCUGGUGUCACCCAAUGUCCCUUUGGUGUCACCCGAUGUCACCCAGUGUCACCCAAUGUCCCCUUGGUGUCACCCGAUGUCACCCAUUGUCACCCAAUGUCCCCUUGGUGUCACCCAGUGUCACCCAAUGUCCCUUUGGUGUCACCCGAUGUCACCCAUUGUCACCCAAUAUUCCCUUGGUGUCACCCAGUGUCACCCAAUGUCCCUUCGGUGUCACCUGGUGUCACCCAUUGUCACCCAGUGUCACCCAAUGUCCCUUCGGUGUCACCUGGUGUCACCCAGUGUCACCCAAUGUCCCCUUGGUGUCACCUGGUGUCACCCAGUGUCCCUUUGGUGUCACCCGGUGUCACCCGUUGUCACCCAAUAUCAUCCAAUGUCCCCUUGGUGUCACCCGAUGUCACCCAAUGUCCCCAGUGUCACCCGUUGUCACCCAAUGUCACCCAAUAUUCCCUUGGUGUUACCCAGUGUCACCCAAUGUCCCUUCGGUGUCACCUGGUGUCACCCAGUGUCACCCAAUGUCCCUUUGGUGUCACCCGCUGUCACCCAAUGUCCCUUUGCUUUCACCCGGUGUCACCUGUUGUCACCCAAUGUCAUCCAAUGUCCCCUUGGUGUCACCCAAUGUCACCCAAUGUCCCCUUGGUGUCACCCAGUGUCACCCAAUGUCCCUUUGCUGUCCCCUUGGUGUCCCCUUGGUGUCACCCAAUGUCCCUUUGGUGUCACCCAGUGUCACCCAGUGUCACCCAAUGUCCCCUUGGUGUCACCUGGUGUCACCCAGUUGUCACCCAGUGUCACCCAUUGUCCCCUUAGCGUCACCUGUUGUCACUCGUUGUCACCCAGUGUCCCUUCAGUGUCCCUUGUUGUCCCCCGUUGUCACCCAUUGUCCCCUCUUGUCCCCCGUUGUCCUCCCCAUUGUCACCCAAUGUCCCCCAGUGUCACCCACUGUCACCCAUUGUCCCCUUUGUUGUCACCCACUGUCCCUUCAUUGUCACCCAAUGUACCUCAGCGUCACCCCAUGACACCCAAUGUCCCUCUGUGUCACCCACUGUCACCCAUUGUCCCUUCAGUGUCACCCAUUGUCCCUUCAUUGUCACCCGUUGUCCCCCCGUUGUCACCCACUGUCACCCAGCGUCCCCUCAGUGUCACCCGUUGUCCCUUCAUUGUCACCUGUUGUCACCCAUUGUCACCCAUUGUCACCCCACUGUCACCCAUGGGUGUCCCCUGGGUUGGGAUUUUGGGGUUCCUUGGAGCUCUCUGUCCCCUCUUUGUCACCCGUUGUGUCCCCAAAUGUCCCCAAACGGCCCCAAAUGCCCCCAGAGUGGCCCCAAAUGGCCCCAUAAUGUCCCCAAUGUCCCCAUUGACCCUAUAAUGUCCCCAUUGACCCCAUAGCGUCCCCAAUGUCCCUAUUGACCCCAUAAUAUUCCCGUUGACCCCAUUGACCCCAUGAUCUGUCCGCUGACCCCAUCAUGUCCCCACUGACCCCAUCAUGUCCCCAUUGACCCCAUAACGUCCCUGCUGACCCCAUAAUAUCCCCAAUAUCCCAUUUGACCCUAUAAGGUCCCCGCUGACCCUAUAAUGUCCCCAUUGAUCCCAUAAUGUCGCCAAUAUCCCAUUUGACCCUAUAAAGUCCCCAUUGACCCUACUGACCCCAUAAUGUCCCCACUGACCCCGUAACGACCCCACUGACCCCAUAAUGUCCCCACUGACCCCAUUGACCCCAUAAUGUCCCGAUAAUGUCCCCAUUGACCCCAUAAAGUCCCCACUGACCCCAUAAUGACCCCAUUGACCCUAUAAAGUCCCCAUAAUGUCCCUAUUGACCCCAUAAAGUUCUCACUGACCCCAUAAUGUCCCCAAUAUCCCAUUUGUCCCUAUGAAGUCCCCAUUGACCCCAUAACGUUCCCAUUGAUCCUAUAAAGUCCCCGCUGACCCCAUAAUGUCCCCAUUGACCCCAUUGACCCCAUAAUAUCCCCAUAAAGUCCCCGCUAACCCUAUAACAUCCCCAUUGACCCCAUAAGGUCCUCAUUGAUCCCAUCAGGUCCCCACUGACCCCAUAAGGUCCUCAUAAUGUCCCCGCUGACCCCAUUGAUCCCAUAAUGUCCUCGCUGACCCCAUAAUGUCCUCGCUGACCCCAUAAUGACCCCAUUGACCCUAUAAUGUUCCCGUAACGUCCCCAUUGACCCCGUAAUGUCCACAUUGACCCCAUAAUGUCCCCACUGACCCCAUAAUGUCCCUCCUGACCCUAUAAGGUCCUCAUUGACCUCACAAUGUCCUCAUAAUGUCCCGGCUGACCCCAUAAAGCCCCCACUGACCCCAUAUAUCCCCAUUGACCCCAUAAUGUCCCCAUAAAGUCCCCUCUGACCCCAUAAUGU